ACGGAAGGCAGCAGUGGGGAAUAUUGGGCAAUGGGCGCAAGCCUGACCCAGCAAUGCCGCGUGAAGGAAGAAGGCUUUCGGGUUGUAAACUUCUUUGGCAGGGGUCGAUAAUGACGGUACCCUGAGAACAAGCCACGGCUAACUACGUGCCAGCAGCCGCGGUAAUACGUAGGUGGCGAGCGUUGUCCGGAUUUACUGGGUGUAAAGGGCGAGUAGGCGGGAAUGCAAGUCAGAUGUGAAAUACCGAGGCUUAACCUCGGAGCUGCAUUUGAAACUGUAUUUCUUGAGUGAUGGAGAGGCAGGCGGAAUUCCCGGUGUAGCGGUGAAAUGCAUAGAGAUCGGGAGGAACACCAGUGGCGAAGGCGGCCUGCUGGACAUUAACUGACGCUGAGGCGCGAAAGUGUGGGGAGCAAACAGGAUUAGAUACCCUGGUA
rnacentral:rRNA from 1 species